rfam:Oryza glumipatula chromosome 10, whole genome shotgun sequence.
AAUAAGUGUAGUUUUACACUAUUCACCUCCAACGUUUAACCAUUCGUUUAUUUAAAAUUUUUUUAUGAUUAUUAUUUUGUUGUUAUUAUAUGAUAAAACAUGAAUAUUAUUUUAUAUGUGACUAACUUUUUUUUAAUUUUUUAUAAAAUUUUCAAAUAAAACGGACGGUUAAACGUUGGACACGGAUUUUCAUGGCUGCACUUAUU